CGAAGCUGACCAGACAGUCGCCGCUUCGUCGUCGUCCUUUCGGGGAGACGGGCGGAGGGGAGGAAAGUCCGGGCUCCAUAGGGCAGGGUGCCAGGUAACGCCUGGGGGGGAAACCCACGACCAGUGCAACAGAGAGCAAACCGCCGAUGGCCCACGUAAGUGGGAUCAGGUAAGGGUGAAAGGGUGCGGUAAGAGCGCACCGCGCGGCUGGUAACAGUCCGUGGCACGGUAAACUCCACCCGGAGCAAGGCCAAAUAGGGGUUCAUAAGGUACGGCCCGUACUGAACCCGGGUAGGCUGCUUGAGCCAGUGAGCGAUUGCUGGCCUAGAUGAAUGACUGAGGGGUAUAGAGGUUCCAGAAGACGCCAGCGUCACCAUUCGGCAA
rnacentral:RNase_P_RNA from 1 species